ACUCCUGCGGGAGGCAGCAGUGGGGAAUAUUGGACAAUGGGCGAAAGCCUGAUCCAGCAAUGCCGCGUGAGUGAUGAAGGCCUUAGGGUUGUAAAGCUCUUUUACCCGGGAUGAUAAUGACAGUACCGGGAGAAUAAGCCCCGGCUAACUCCGUGCCAGCAGCCGCGGUAAUACGGAGGGGGCUAGCGUUGUUCGGAAUUACUGGGCGUAAAGCGCGCGUAGGCGGCUUUGUAAGUUAGAGGUGAAAGCCCGGAGCUCAACUUCGGAAUUGCCUUUAAGACUGCAUCGCUAGAAUCGUGGAGAGGUGAGUGGAAUUCCGAGUGUAGAGGUGAAAUUCGUAGAUAGUCGGAAGAACACCAGUGGCGAAGGCGACUCACUGGACACGUAUUGACGCUGAGGUGCGAAAGCGUGGGGAGCAAACAGGAUUAGAUACCCGGGUAGUCCCAUGA
rnacentral:rRNA from 1 species